rnacentral:lncRNA from 1 species
CCGGAUCAGCCCAGAAGCAGGACAGCCAGGGGCCGGGCAGGCGUGGAUCUGGGCAGUGAAGGCGUGUGUGAGCCACAGGCACUGUAUGACCUAUGGGAUGGCAGCAGAGCCAGGAUCAGAGGAUCCCAGAGGGCCUCUGGAAGGCAGAGUGCAGUGACCCUGCAGGAAGCUUGGACAGGAGGACCAGACCCGGCCCUGGCUCCUACUCUACUCCAACCCCAGGCACGCACUGAGCCCUGGCCCCGUCCCCUGUGGACCGUGUGGAGGGUGAGACCACGGGAUGGGUGUCCACAGUGCCCUCUAGGAUGCUGUCCCCCGACACAGCACCAUGGUGCUACCUCCUCCGGCGUCACGAUUCUGCCUCACCAGCACCACAGCCUUGCCUCCAGGGCCAUGGCCCCAGACAGUGGCCACUGCCUCACUGGCUGUGAGUGUGUGCGGGGCCUCCUUCAUCACACUCAGAGAAGAGGGACCCUGGGCUUCACCGGAUGAAACUGGAGGCCCUCAGGAUGAAGACAGCAGGGCACAGGUGUCCUCCCAGCUGCCUGGACCCAGAUCUCCCAGCUGGACCCAGAUCUCCCGCAAUUCGUCACCGGGUCUGUGCUGCC